AAUUCUCAAAAACCCUUUUCUUUGAUUGGAAGGGGGCUUUUGGACUUGGAGGUUCCAUGCUCGUCAAAGGUGAGCUCCUCUCAAAUGAAUUAGUGGGGGUCCGCUUUGUCGAUCCUCGACGUGAUAAGAUGUUUCUACGUUUUGGAUCUGGCACUGUCUUUCGGACUUUUGCUCCUAAUCGUCCCCCAUGGACAAACGAUGGUGCUCCGGUCCGUUGCCAAACCUACGUUUGGCGGGGGGCUUGACCCACGACCAAAAA
rnacentral:misc_RNA from 1 species